rnacentral:tRNA from 1 species
GGGGGUUUAGCUCAGCGGCAUAAGCGCCUGCCUUGCAAGCAGGCAGUUGUGAAUUCAAUCCCUG